AUUGUUUUUCUUCUAUUUGCCUCUUUGAUGUAAUUUUAAUUUUGUUGUUACCAAAGAUGUCUUGCGUGAAUAAAGAUGGAAAAGCUGUGGAGUUGCGGAUGACCCAACAAUCAGCAUGAAGGAAGAAAUAAAACAUCGCUAACGAUGUUGAUAACAUCAUGCUGUAAUAUCCGUUUUUCUCGACGAUGUUUCCUUAAUUUGCGAUCAAUUUGUCGUUGGCGGAGAUAAAAAGUUUUUGUUUAGAUCGUUAACGCUCUUUGUGCAAAACGAUGGACAGCACACAAAUGGACCAUGAUCAUAGCAAAGAAGGACGAACUGACUCUAGGAUGCUCCCAUCAAUUUUCCUUGGAGUUUUCCUCGGCUGCGAGCCGCUGGUGACGGCUCAAUUUUCGAAGCAGUACGCAGGGCCGUAUGAUAUCCUAGUUAAAGAAAAGGUCCCUUGCAUUAACCCUGGAACUGACAAAAUGAAGUUUCCAAACAACAAGAUUAAUACUUACAACAGGACACUGAAGAUCAUGUAUUACCUCUGAUGUAAUACUGCCCUGGGGUUUCACCGAUGAUAUUAUAGAAAGGCGUGUUUACCGACAAGGAAUUAGGACCUUUGUGCUCCACACUUAAAAAGUACACAAAGUCCUUGCCUACAUCUAUAGCCAGGUCUAUGGGUUUUCAAUCUUGUCCUAUACCACCUGGGAAUUACACGAUUAAAAAUUGGCCGAUUAGCAUUCAGCCGACACUGUCCAUAUUACCAUAUCACUCAGUCUGCCUCAACUUCACCUUCAUGCGCAAAAAUAUUAAAGUUGGUUGCAUCAGUUUGAAAUGCGAUAUAGUUCCUAAAAAGAAACAAGGUUGACCCUCCCCCCCACCCUAUGAAAUAUUUGAACUA